CAUAGCCACUAUAUAGCUCAUAAAUAGACCGACUACGAACAAACCAUGUUUAGCCCAAAAUAACCUUGAAUUUAAUAAAAUUUUGUUUUUGCCAAAAUAACUUGCAAGAAUUAUGAUAUUUUAUCAGGCAUGCAAAGACACCAGUGAAAUUAAGAUGUUUGGUUUUAUUUAUCUUAUCUGAAUAUCUGCUGUCACGCAUAACAUUCAUUAUUUGACCGUAUUUCAAAGAUAAACAAAAUCCAGUUACAACUCCAAACCGCUAGAUGGCAGAGUACACAAACACGAGGCCAAAUCUCACGAGAAAGAUUUCCGCUGUUUGAAAAGCAACAACAUCAGCGAGCAGCCACGAGGAAAGCAUGUACCACACUCGUUUGGUCUUGUGUCAAAGCUGUGCGAAACUGGAGGGAGAAACUUGAGAGACCGUGCCGGAAGAAUGCUGGACAGAGUUCACUAAAAUUCAUUCAUUUCAAAGUUCAACAUGAAUGGUUGUGGUCCACUGCAGAAGCAAGCAUUUGAAAAAACAUCAGUUCUCAGUUAUUAAAGAUGCUGUGUUGAACAACUUCCCAGCAGCAACAGAACUGGAAGUGAAGGAUGCAAUGGGGGCAUUUCAAACAGGCACCAGGGAGCACGGGGGGGAGGGUAUAGAAAUUAGUACAAUUAAUAAGUUGACGUGAACUGAAGAUAGUUUGUUAAUGUUUAGAUGUUAUUUCAUUUUUAAAAUUGUAUUUUGUUAUAUAUGCUUUUAUUUUGUUACUGUUUUUAUUCUUUUUGUUAAAAGUAGUUUUUCUUCAUUUUGUU